rnacentral:rRNA from 1 species
UCAAACUUGAGAGUUUGAUCCUGGCUCAGAACGGACGCUGGCGGCAGGCCUAAAACAUGCAAGUCGAACGAUCCUUCGGGAUAGU